AGCAGCCGCGGUAAUUCCAGCUCCAAUAGCGUAUAUUAAAGUUGUUGCAGUUAAAAAGCUCGUAGUUGAAUUUCGGGAUCAAUACGUCGGUCGUGCUUCGGUACGUACUAACGUCAUUGAUUUCUCCCUUCUGACGAAUCGUGAUGUCAUUAAUUUGGUGUUACGGGGAGUUAGGACUGUUACUUUGAAAAAAUUAGAGUGUUUAAAGCAAGCAAUCGCUCGAAUACAUUAGCAUGGAAUAAUGAAAUAGGACGUUCGAACCUAUUUUGUUGGUUUCUAGGAUCGACGUAAUGAUUAAUAGGGAUAGUUGGGGGCAUUAGUAUUCAAUUGUCAGAGGUGAAAUUCUUGGAUUUAUUGAAGACUAACUACUGCGAAAGCAUUUGCCAAGGAUGUUUUCAUUAAUCAAGAACGAAAGUUAGGGGAUCGAAGACGAUCAGAUACCGUCGUAGU
rnacentral:rRNA from 1 species